GUCAUAGUCAUCGACAUCUACUGGUGGCUCUCAAUCUUCUCCCACAACUCCCACAAUAAUUGCAGCUAAGAACUCAACCAUGCUGAUCACUGGACAAAUGCCAAUAUAUAAUGGUGGGCAGUCCCCCCUUGUGCUUGUUCCAAAGAGCCCCAAAACAUCGCUCCAAACAGAUCCAAUUCCCACCAUUCAAGCUUGGCGGUCGGUCAAUGUCUCGCUUGUUUCUCCUCCUCGUGUUGUUUCUCGAUCUCACCGUCACUCUGGCAGUGGCUCGGUCGACGCCGGUGAAGGUGGAUGUCAUCGGCAGCAGUCUUGGGAACGCUAGUGCUCCUUCCUCGAGUGUGAACGCAGGUAGAGAGCCGGGACUUGCCGGCUCGCCGGAGGCAACUCCGGAUGCGAAUCACCACCACCGGGCUUCCGACAAGUCGAUAGCCGGGGCCGAGGUUAUACUCGGAGGGCUUGCCUCUGCGGUUCUCGGGGCCAUCUUUGCGUACAUUCGGGUGACCAGGAAACAGAGCUCGGAAACCAAAGCCUGAUCCUGUUUUCUCCUUCUUCGUGUUGCUGCUAACUGUUGCAAGCACCAGUGGAUGUUUGGCGAGCGGUGAGGUUGCGAUCAAGCAUAGCCAUGUGCUGCUCGAACAUAUUCGUGAUUCACGUAGAAAAUUUAGUUUCUGCAGCGAUGACUGCUUCUUUUUUCUUCUUCUCCACUCGUGGAUGCUUCUUUCUUUAAUUUCGUCUUCUUAGCUUAAUUCCUAACUACAUGUCUCCAUGUACGUGUGCGUGUGUGUAUGUUUGAAUGUCCAUGAAGACUUACGUAUGCAUGCAGGCAUAGAGAUCUGAGAAGAAGAUACCAGUUGGCCGUGGUAGCAUCGCCUCUCUUGGUCAUGUCAUGGUGUGUUGGAGAACAAGUGUUUUAGGUGUAAUAUCGCUGAUUAGUCCUACAUCGAAAGUGGACAAGAUUAAGAUUGACUUAUAAGAGUUUGAUAAGUAUACUAUUAUCAACUUCAGCUUAAGCAUUUUGGUGAGGACGUCAAGUUUUUGAAUGGAUUAUAUUGGAACUUAACGAGGACGCGGCUCCGUUUAGCUAGUCACGUUUCCCGGAUGCCUUUUUCUCCUGCAUCUCUUAUUGAAACCCUCCCAAUUCUCCAUCCCGGACAAUCGAUUCGAUAGAAGCAGGAUGGGUGCGAAGAUGGGAUCGGGGAGGUCGGAAUGGCGGUCGUCAGGUCUCGCGCGGAGCCAUCACGACAAGGCCGUAUUCAUUCGCCCUCAUCUCCACAGGCACCAGCGCCAUCUCCGGUGAUCCUCCAACUGUUUGCUUGUUCCCUUCUCUUUUGUCUGUUUCCUCCAAUUUUUAGAUCGAAGCCCGAGCUUCCAAUUCGGUUUAGAUUAGGUUCGAGUUUGGUGUUAGAUGAUAAUAAUAACAUGAAAAAGAUUCUUUCUUGAUGGGCGAGGGUUUCUGGGUGGUAGUCUUCCAGAGAAAGAUAGGACUUCGAUGAACUCAGGAAUCGUGAUCCAACUUUUGUUGCUUCGAUUUAAAUGGGUAAGAGGUGGGAAUUGAUGGAUGCAACGACCUGGAGGAUGCUUACCCAUGGGGGAUUUGAUUUGCUAUUGGUUAAUGUCCUGGAUCUCAAUGAGCCCGAGGAAGAGACUUUUCAUACUCCAGAGCAAGUAUUUGAAUCUUAAGGGCCUGGUUGAAAAUUGAGGGGCUCUUCAUUGGCAUAUAGGUACGAGUUGCUGUCGCUUGUUGUUCCUUCAGGUUAGUUUAGGAUGAACCUUGCUGCCUCACAAGUCGUAAAAUGCGGAUGGACCUGGAAAUGAUUUCUUCACACGAAGCAGCGGUAGGCUGUUGCAGAAGACAGCAAGCACCCCCUGGAGAAGGAAGAGGAAUGAUUAGACAAAGAAGAUCAAAGAAGAGGAGGUUAGAAGUUGGAAGAAGCAGAGGAGAUGAAGAGGGGCACCUGAAACUUUGUGAUUCUUUUCCUCUUUAAGCAUUUUGAACCUGUCAUUUCCUUAUAUUGAUGUGGAGGCAGAUAAUCCCUCUGAGCCUUGAUGACACCUGUAUUGUCUAGUUUAUGAGACCUAGCUUAAUUAAACAACUUCCUUUGUUUCGCUUGCUUUUUUUUUUUCUCACUUUUGCAAGCAACUUCUGAUCCAAUGAUUCUUGACCAUGUUGUGGUAAUGGACAAACUUGGAAACAAAUUAUAUGUAAUUCCUAGAGCUAGUUAUGAGGAUGGAAUAAACAGAUUUUAAUGAGUCUUUAAAUUAGUUGAGCUCCCACUUUUAACUCAGUGUGUCUCCCUUUCGUUUCGUCAUAUAUGUCAAUGAUACUUUCAGAUCCUGCAUGUAUGUUAUGAUGUUAACGAACAGAUGUGC